GCUCCGCUGGCGCAAUGGUAGCGCGCAAGACUUCUAUCCUGAGGUCCUGGUAUCGUCGCGGUGAGAUGAGAUCACGGUGUCCGCGAUACAGAUGUUAUCUUGAGGUUGUGGGUUCGAGUCCCACGCGGAGUG
rnacentral:tRNA from 1 species